UACGAGGGGGGCAAGCGUUGUUCGGAAUUAUUGGGCGUAAAGGGUGCGUAGGCGGACAGGUAAGUCAGUGGUGAAAUCUCUGGGCUUAACCCAGAAACUGCCGUUGAUACUAUUUGUCUUGAAUAUCCUGGAGGUAGGCGGAAUAUGUCAUGUAGCGGUGAAAUGCUUAGAUAUGACAUAGAACACCGAUAGCGAAGGCAGCUUACUACAGGAUGAUUGACGCUGAGGCACGAAAGCGUGGGGAGCAAACAGG
rnacentral:rRNA from 1 species